rnacentral:tRNA from 1 species
UUUCUCGUGGUGUAGUGGUAACGCGCAUGUCUAGUGAGUACCAGUCGCGAGUUCGAGUCUCACCGAGAGGA